GGGCCUCCGGUAGCUUACACUCAUCACCCUGUGACAUACCUAAAACGUUGCUUCGGCGGGAACAGACGGCCCCGUAACACGGGCCGCCCCCGCCAGAGGACCCCCUAACUCUGUUUCUAUUAUGUUUCUUCUGAGUAAAACAAGCAAAUAAAUUAAAACUUUCAACAACGGAUCUCUUGGCUCUGGCAUCGAUGAAGAACGCAGCGAAAUGCGAUAAGUAAUGUGAAUUGCAGAAUUCAGUGAAUCAUCGAAUCUUUGAACGCACAUUGCGCCCGCCAGUAUUCUGGCGGGCAUGCCUGUUCGAGCGUCAUUACAACCCUCAGGCCCCCGGGCCUGGCGUUGGGGAUCGGCGAGGCGCCCCCUGCGGGCACACGCCGUCCCCCAAAUACAGUGGCGGUCCCGCCGCAGCUUCCAUUGCGUAGUAGCUAACACCUCGCAACUGGAGAGCGGCGCGGCCACGCCGUAAAACACCCAACUUCUGAAUGUUGACCUCGAAUCAGGUAGGAAUACCCGCUGAACUUAAGCAUAUCAAAUAAGCCGGAGG
rnacentral:misc_RNA from 1 species